rnacentral:siRNA from 1 species
UAGCUUUGUUUUCCCUUUGCCUCU